CCUACGGGCGGCAGCAGUGGGGAAUAUUGGACAAUGGGCGAAAGCCUGAUCCAGCCAUGCCGCGUGUGUGAAGAAGGCCUUCGGGUUGUAAAGCACUUUCAGUGGGGAAGAAAGCCUUGGGGCUAAUACCCUCGAGGAAGGACAUCACCCACAGAAGAAGCACCGGCUAACUCCGUGCCAGCAGCCGCGGUAAUACGGAGGGUGCGAGCGUUAAUCGGAAUUACUGGGCGUAAAGCGCGCGUAGGCGGUCUGAUAAGCCGGUUGUGAAAGCCCCGGGCUCAACCUGGGAACGGCAUCCGGAACGGUCAGGCUAGAGUGCAGGAGAGGAAGGUAGAAUUCCCGGUGUAGCGGUGAAAUGCGUAGAGAUCGGGAGGAAUACCAGUGGCGAAGGCGGCCUUCUGGACUGACACUGACGCUGAGGUGCGAAAGCGUGGGUAGCAAACAGGAUUAGAUACCUUGUAGUC
rnacentral:rRNA from 1 species